rnacentral:sRNA from 1 species
UUGCAUCUGAAAUUAAUAAGGAUGAGAACCUCCGGGGCAGGAGGUUCGACUCGAGCGAAGCGAGAGAACGUUGCUUCAGCAACGGCCCGCAGGGCGAGUCACGGAGUGACGAGUUAUCCUCUCUCGCCGACCA